CCUACGGGCGGCUGCAGUGGGGAAUAUUGCACAAUGGGCGCAAGCCUGAUGCAGCCAUGCCGCGUGUAUGAAGAAGGCCUUCGGGUUGUAAAGUACUUUCAGUCGUGAGGAAGGUGUUAAGGUUAAUAACCUUAGCAAUUGACGUUAGCGACAGAAGAAGCACCGGCUAACUCCGUGCCAGCAGCCGCGGUAAUACGGAGGGUGCGAGCGUUAAUCGGAAUUACUGGGCGUAAAGGGCACGCAGGCGGUUAAUUAAGUUAGAUGUGAAAUCGCCGGGAUUAGCCUGGGAAUGGAAUUCAAUACUGGUUAGCUAGAGUCUUGUAGAGGGGGGUAGAAUACCAUGUGUAGCGGUGAAAUGCGUAGAGAUGUGGAGGAAUGCCGGUGGCGAAGGCGGCCCCCUGGACAAAGACUGACGCACAGGUGCGAAAGCGUGGGUAGCACACAGGAUUAGAUACACUGGUAGUC
rnacentral:rRNA from 1 species